CUUACAUAGUCGGGGGGCCAUUAGGCUGAGAUCGCAAUUGCGAGACCCGUUGAACCUGAUUCAGUUAACACUGGCGUAGGGAACUAUAGUCUUGCUAAU
rnacentral:ncRNA from 2 species